CCUACGGGUGGCAGCAGUGAGGAAUAUUGGUCAAUGGGCGAGAGCCUGAACCAGCCAAGUCGCGUGAGGGAAGACGGUCCUAUGGAUUGUAAACCUCUGUUGCCGGGGAGCAAAAAGCGGUACGUGUACCGCAUCGAGAGUACCCGGAGAAAAAGCAUCGGCUAACUCCGGGCCAGCAGCCGCGGUAAGACGGAGGAUGCGAGUGUUAUCCGGAUGUAUGGGGUUAAAAGGGUGCGCAGGCGGCGAGUUAAGUCAGCGGUAAAAUUGCGGGGCCCAACCCCGACGAGCCGUUGAAACUGGCGUGCUAGAGUGGGCGAGAAGUAUGCGGAAUGCGUGGUGUAGCGGUGAAAUGCAUAGAUAUCACGCAGAACUCCGAUUGCGAAGGCAGCAUACCGGCGCCCAACUGACGCUCAGGCACGAAAGCGUGGGUAUCGAACAGGAUUAGAUACCCGAGUAGUC
rnacentral:rRNA from 1 species